rnacentral:rRNA from 1 species
UACGAAGGGGGCUAGCGUUGCUCGGAAUUACUGGACGUAAAGGGUGCGUAGGCGGGUCUUUAAGUCAGGGGUGAAAUCCUGGAGCUCAACUCCAGAACUGCCUUUGAUACUGAGGAUCUUGAGUUCGGGAGAGGUGAGUGGAACUGCGAGUGUAGAGGUGAAAUUCGUAGAUAUUCGCAAGAACACCAGUGGCGAAGGCGGCUCACUGGCCCGAUACUGACGCUGAGGCACGAAAGCGUGGGGAGCAAACAGG